rnacentral:lncRNA from 1 species
GACUUCAGGAAGCUGCAGCUGAUGACUACAGCUGCUUCUUUCACUGGUGCGGAUGAUUCACAGCUAGAUGUCUGGAAGUCAGCGCGAAAUCUGAUAACGCCUGAAACCCACACUUCUAUCCUCCUGAGCAGAUGAGCAGCACUUCCGCUUGUCCAGAGCUGGACCUUCCUAACUCACAGGCAAGUACAUUUGUUUGCCUGUCUUCUCUGCAAGCCCUCUGUUGGGGAGAACACUAGGAAACACAGUUUCUGGACUUCUCUCUAAAAAGAGAAGAGGGAUGAGCAUCUCAGACAAACGGGCACAUAGAGCCGAAGAAACAACUUCAAGGACUGAAGAGAAGAAAGCUGCCAACCCACAGUGCUUAGGGGUCUGGCUGGUUCAAAGUUCCUGGAUCCCUAAGUGUGUAGUACAUAUUGGUGAUUUGUCUUCAAUGAUAACACUUUAACAAUUGGCUGUCCCAGCAUCCUCUGGUCUUAGGGUUUCACUGACUACAUAAUUUGUUCAUCAGAGUCUUAUUUUCCUAUCUAAGGCAGCAAUGUGUAUAAAAAGAAGAAUUUUGAUAAGUAAUAGUUGUUUCCGGGGCUGGUUCCUGAACUAUAAGAUAUUAUCUAUUAUAUUUCUGUCAAGUGAACAGCAUACAGUAAAGUUCAAAGGAACAACUCACUAUUUACCAUAAGUAUUGGUUUAUUCAUCCAGGCAGGGUACAACUUGGCUCUUCUGCAUCUCACUCGAGUCUAUCAUUCAGGGGCACUGCUGACUGAACAAGGCCAAUAUGUGCCCAGCCUUGCCAUCAUACCACAUGGCCUGUCUCCAUCAGGGUGGGCAAAUGAGUCUCUCAUACACCACACUCUCAAGUAACUAGGAUCCUUGGGUUAUGCUUUAGAUUCAUACCUAAUUGUGUUCAUGUGUCACUGCCAAUGCCAAUCAAAUCUCAUUAAAAUUUAGCAUCUUAACAAUUUCUUCAUACACAUGAAGGCAAAGCUAAUGAUUUUACACAUUCUACAGUCAAUCGUCCAUGUACCUGUCAAUACCUGUCUCAUCACUGCUUACUGGGUUCUCCCAUUAACUCCAUAGCCACCUACCUCCCUUCCACCUUUCCGAGAACAAGACCUUGUCUCCUUUGAGUCGUCCUCCUGUCUACUGUGUAUAUCAAACACUCAAUAGUACUCAGUCUUGGUCCACGUGUCGUAGUAGAGCUCUGGGGAAGAUUUAUAUUAAACACGCUUAAACCUGAGCAUCGUGAAACCCUCGGACUCACCACUGAAUAAAUCAAGCCGUUAUCCUUGUCUGUGUAUGCUGACAGCUACAGCUUUACAAUCCGGGUGUGUACAGAUGCAGGAAGCUACUCGGACACUUCCACUUUUCCGGAAACAUUGUCAGGGAAUGACAUACUAAUUAGACUGGUGUUUUACCACGAAGUGAAACUUUGAGAGAAAUGAAAACUUAGAGGUGGCAGGGGUGUGCCUCAACAUCUUGGUAUCUCCAGAGCUGUAUCUCCUACGGGGACUGGAGAACAGUGGGCAGUUCAUAAGCAUUUGCUAUACUAAGGGUCAUUUCUUCCCACUUAAUGGCCCAAGAAUAUGCAUUGUCUGUGUGAGUUCUGAAGCUGACAUCUAUAACUUGCUUUGCAAGGACUUCUUAAGAAAUUCUGAGGCACAGCAUAGUCAUUACUUUUUAUUUUUUUAAUGAUACAAAAGUCAAACUCAAGCCAUCCCAGGAAUUAAGAGAAAGUAAAG